UCGGUUCCGGUUCACGCUCGACACGCAACGCGCGAGCGACCCGGCGACC
rfam:Nocardia donostiensis strain X1655 18, whole genome shotgun sequence.